rnacentral:rRNA from 1 species
AUUGAACGCUGGCGGCAUGCUUUACACAUGCAAGUCGAACGGCAGCACGGGAGCUUGCUCCUGGUGGCGAGUGGCGAACGGGUGAGUAAUGCAUCGGAACGUACCCAGUAGUGGGGGAUAGCCCGGCGAAAGCCGGAUUAAUACCGCAUAUUUCCUGAGGGAGAAAGCGGGGGGACCUUCGGGCCUCGCGCUACUGGAGCGGCUGAUGUCGGAUUAGCUAGUUGGUGAGGUAAAGGCUCACCAAGGCGACGAUCCGUAGCUGGUCUGAGAGGAUGAUCAGCCACACUGGGACUGAGACACGGCCCAGACUCCUACGGGAGGCAGCAGUGGGGAAUUUUGGACAAUGGGGGCAACCCUGAUCCAGCCAUGCCGCGUGAGUGAAGAAGGCCUCGG